UAUUGAUGAUUUAACACAGGACUGUAUGCAAUUGAUUAGAUAAUGAAAGUGUAUAUGAGAAAGUAGCUGAACUGUCAGUGAACUUAAGAAGCAUAGAUUCAAGCAUGACAUUACAGAGGAGCAGAAGGUUACAGAGGAGCAGAAGGUUACAGAGGAGCAUGAGGUUACAGAGGAGCAGAAGGUUACAGAGGAGCAGAAGGUGACAGAGGAGCAGAAGCAUGAGGUGACAGAGGAGCAGAAGGUUACAGAGGAGCAGAAGGUUACAGAGGAGCAGAAGGUUACAGAGGAGCAGAAGGUUACAGAG